rnacentral:rRNA from 1 species
UACGUAGGUGACAAGCGUUGUCCGGAUUCAUUGGGCGUAAAGGGUGCGUAGGCGGCGCGGUAAGUCGGGUGUGAAAUCUCGGAGCUUAACUCCGAAACUGCAUUCGAUACUGCCGUGCUUGAGGACUGGAGAGGAGACUGGAAUUUACGGUGUAGCGGUGAAAUGCGUAGAUAUCGUAAGGAAGACCAGUGGCGAAGGCGGGUCUCUGGACAGUUCCUGACGCUGAGGCACGAAGGUCAGGGGAGCAAACGGG